rnacentral:rRNA from 1 species
AUUGAACGCUGGCGGCAUGCUUUACACAUGCAAGUCGAACGGUAACAGGCCGCAAGGUGCUGACGAGUGGCGAACGGGUGAGUAAUGCAUCGGAACGUGCCCAGUCGUGGGGGAUAACUAUCCGAAAGGAUAGCUAAUACCGCAUGAGAUCUACGGAUGAAAGCAGGGGAUCGCAAGACCUUGUGCUACUAGAGCGGCCGAUGGCAGAUUAGGUAGUUGGUGGGAUAAAAGCUUACCAAGCCGACGAUCUGUAGCUGGUCUGAGAGGACGAUCAGCCAAUCUGGGACUGAGAAACGGCCCAGACUCCGAGGGGAGGCAGCAGUGGGGAAUUUGGGACAAUGGGCGAAAGCCUGAUCCAGAAAUGCCGCGUGCAGGAUGAAGGCCUUCGGGUUGUAAACUGCUUUUGUACGGAACGAAAAGCCCCGGGUUAAUACCCUGGGGUCAUGACGGUACCGUAAGAAUAAGCACCGGCUAACUACGUGCCAGCAGCCGCCGUAA